UUGGUUUUCAGAAGGUUUUGGUAAUGAUGGCCAUAGGCUCAUAUGUAUUUGAAAUGUGAGAGGUUCUGAUGAAAAAAGGUUGGAGCUUGCAAAGUAUGUGAGUUAACAGAUGAGAGAAACUUGUAAAGUAUGUGAGAGGUUCCGAUGUUUGUAAACUAUGUGAGUUCAGUUGACGCAUGAGACAAACUUGAGAAGUCUGCUAAAGCUUGCGGUGAAGAAUAUC
rnacentral:lncRNA from 1 species